rnacentral:rRNA from 1 species
UGGGGAAUCUUGCACAAUGGGGGCAACCCUGAUGCAGCGACGCCGCGUGAGCGAUGAAGCCCUUCGGGGCGUAAAGCUCUUUCGACCGGAACGAUAAUGACGGUACCGGGAGAAGAAGCCGCGGCUAACUACGUGCCAGCAGCCGCGGUAAUACGUAGGCAGCAAGCGUUGUUCGGAGUUACUGGGCGUAAAGAGUGCGUAGGCGGUUUUCUAAGUUCGGUGUGAAAUCUCCCGGCUUAACUGGGAGGGUGCGCCGAAGACUGGGAAGCUGGAGUGUGGGAAAGGCAGGCGGAAUUCCUGGUGUAGCGGUGAAAUGCGUAGAUAUCAGGAGGAACACCGGCGGUGUAGACGGCUUGCUAGACCAUAACUGACGCUGAGGCACGAAAGCGUGGGUAGCAAACA